GUGCAGCAGGCGAGAAUACUUUACAAUGUGCGAAAGCACGAUAAGGGAACUCUGAGUGCCUCCUAAGGAGGCUGUUCUGAUGUCUAAAAGCAACAGAAGUAAGGGCUGGGUAAGACCGGUGCCAGCCGCCGCGGUAACACCGGCAGCCCAAGUGGUAGCCGCGUUUAUUGGGUCUAAAGCGUUCGUAGCCGGCCAGGUAAGUUCCUUGGUAAAUUUAGCCGCUUAACGGUUAAGCUUUCAGGGAAUAUUGCUUGGCUUGGGACUGGGAGAGGUCAGAGGUACUCCGGGGGUAGGGGUGAAAUCUAUUAAUCCCUGGGGGACCACCGGUAGCGAAGGCGUCUGACCAGACCAGGUCCGACGGUGAGGGACGAAGGCUAGGGGCGCGAACCGGAUUAGAUACCCCGGUAGU
rnacentral:rRNA from 1 species